AGUGAACGCUGGCGGUAGGCCUAACACAUGCAAGUCGAACGGCAGCACAGUAAGAGCUUGCUCUUACGGGUGGCGAGUGGCGGACGGGUGAGGAAUACAUCGGAAUCUACUUUUUCGUGGGGGAUAACGUAGGGAAACUUACGCUAAUACCGCAUACGACCUACGGGUGAAAGCAGGGGAUCUUCGGACCUUGCGCGAUUGAAUGAGCCGAUGUCGGAUUAGCUAGUUGGCGGGGUAAAGGCCCACCAAGGCGACGAUCCGUAGCUGGUCUGAGAGGGUGAGCAGCCACAGUGGAACUGAGACACGGUCCAGACUCCUACGGGAGGCAGCAGUGGGGAAUAUUGGACAAAGGGCGCAAGCCUGAUCCAGCCAUACCGCGUGGGUGAAGAAGGCCCUCGGGUUGUAAAGCCCUUUUGUUGGGAAAGAAAAGCAGCAGGUUAAUACCCCGCUGUUCUGACGGUACCCAAAGAAUAAGCACCGGCUAACUUCGUG
rnacentral:rRNA from 1 species